AGCUUGCUUCCGAUAGGCGUCGACCGGCGCACGGGUGAGUAACGCGUAUCCAACCUGCCCAUCACUUGGGGAUAACCUUGCGAAAGUAAGACUAAUACCCAAUGACGUCUCUAGAAGACAUCUGAAAGAGAUUAAAGAUUUAUCGGUGAUGGAUGGGGAUGCGUCUGAUUAGCUUGUUGGCGGGGUAACGGCCCACCAAGGCAACGAUCAGUAGGGGUUCUGAGAGGAAGGUCCCCCACAUUGGAACUGAGACACGGUCCAAACUCCUACGGGAGGCAGCAGUGAGGAAUAUUGGUCAAUGGACGAGAGUCUGAACCAGCCAAGUAGCGUGCAGGAUGACGGCCCUAUGGGUUGUAAACUGCUUUUAUAAGGGAAUAAAGUGAGUCUCGUGAGACUUUUUGCAUGUACCUUAUGAAUAAGGACCGGCUAAUUCCGUGCCAGCAGCCGCGGUAAUACGGAAGGUCCGGGCGUUAUCCGGAUUUAUUGGGUUUAAAGGGAGCGUAGGCCGGAGAUUAAGCGUGUUGUGAAAUGUAGACGCUCAACGUCUGCACUGCAGCGCGAACUGGUUUCCUUGAGUACGCACAAAGUGGGCGGAAUUCGUGGUGUAGCGAUGAAAUGCUUAGAUAUCACGAAGAACUCCGAUUGCGAAAGGCAGCUCACUGGAGCGCAACUGACGCUGAAGCUCGAAAGUGCGGGUAUCGAACAGGAUUAGAUACCCUG
rnacentral:rRNA from 1 species